rnacentral:rRNA from 1 species
AUGUUAUCUUCUUGCAAUAUCAUGCUUUAUCGUUGCACAUCCCCUAGAACUUUUCGCAGUUGUCAGGCCAGCGGUGAAGGAGUUGAGGUGGCUGUUCGGGAAGAUGUGGAGCGACCAUCACAAGAUGGCAGGAUAGGGGCAUCACCAGGGCGGUUUGCGAAGUUCAACAGCUCGCUAUCCCCGCUGCAGCUAGUUUCAAGGUUGUUUGGGGGCCUCUUGAACUUAUUAGAUACACUUCCAAGGGACUUCAAUAAAUUCCUGGUGCAGUCCUACCAGCCAGAGACCUCUGAAAUGGUGUUCCCAGGCAGGGGAAGGAUCGGUGUCGAUGCAGACAGUGUUCAAAGGGUAUUUGAUCUUCCUAACAGGGGUCAAAAAGUCAGAUAUGUAGUUGACAAGGAUGCAACUAGGAGAUUCAGAGAGGCUUUCAACAUACGUGGAGAUUCUCAUCCCCAGAUCACUACAUGGUGCAAGAUGAUUAAGGAUAUGGCGGGAAGAAUGGUGUUUGAUGUUGCUUGUAUCACUUGA